rnacentral:rRNA from 2 species
AUAUCUUGAAUCAUCGAGUCUUUGAACGCAAGUUGCGCCCGAGGCUUGUCCAAGGGCAUUUCCGCUAGAGCGUCACC